rnacentral:rRNA from 1 species
AAGAAANUGNACAAUACGCUGGCGGCAGGCUACACAUGCAUUUCGAGCGGUAGCANAGAGAGCUUGCUCUCGGGUGACAGAGCUGGCGGACGGGUGAGUAUGUCUGGGAAACUGCCUGAUGGAGUGGGGAUAACUACUUGGAAACGGUAGCUAAUACCGCAUAACGUCGNAAGACCAAAUGUGGGGGACCUUCGGGCCUCAUGCCAUCAGAUGUGCACCACGAUGGGACUUAGCUACGAUACNGUGGCGGUAAUGGGAUCACCCUAGNNGUCGAAGAUCCCUAGCUGGUCAUGAGACGGAUGACCAAGAACACUACAUGGAACGUNGAAGACACNGAGUCNCAAACGUCCNUACACGGAGAAGGNAAGCAAGUGGUGNCAGCNGGGCGANGGGGAAGUAA